UCAAGCUACAAAGGGCUUACGGAGGAUGCCUUGGUACGUGGCGCCGAAGAAGGACGUGACAAGCUGCGAAAAGUUGCGGGGAGGAGCAAAUAUCCUGUGAUCCGCAAAUAUCCGAAUGAGGGAACUCCGCACGGGUAAAGCCGUGUGAUCCGUAUAUGAAUAGAUAGUAUACGGAGGGGAACCCGGGGAACUGAAACAUCUAAGUACCCGGAGGAAAAGAAAACAAAAGUGAUUCCGAAAGUAGUGGCGAGCGAAAUCGGAAGAGCCCAAACCGAAUGUAGAAAUACGUUGGGGGUAAGGACCGCGAGAAGCAAGAGUGAAAGCUAACCGAAAUACCUGGGAAGGUAUAACGCAGAGGGUGAAAUUCCCGUAGGUGAAAGCGGAAGCUCGGCGAGCGGAAUCCGGAGUACGUCGGGACACGAGAAAUCCUGACGGAAGGAACGGGGACCAUCCCGUAAGGCUAAAUACGACCACGUGACCGAUAGCGAAUAGUACCGUGAGGGAAAGGUGAAAAGGACCCCGGGAGGGGAGUGAAAAAGAACCUGAAACCGUAAGUUUACAAGCAGACGGAGAGCGUUAAGUGCUCGACGUCGUACUUUUUGUAGAACGGGCCGGCGAGUUACGAUGUGAUGCGAGGUUAAGCGAUGAAGUCGCGGAGCCGAAGCGAAAGCGAAUCUGAAGAGGGUGAUAAGUAUCAUGUCGUAGACCCGAAACCGAAUGACCUAACCAUGAGCAGGUUGAAGCAAUGGUAAAACGUUGUGGAGGACCGAACACACGCCUGUUGAAAUAGUCGGUGAUGACUUGUGGUUAGCGGAGAAAUUCCAAACGAAUUCGGAUAUAGCUGGUUCUCCUCGAAAUAGCUUUAGGGCUAGCCUCGCGAGACAGACUAUGAAGGUAAAGCACUGAAUGACCUAGGGGGCUUCACAGCCUACCGAAGUUUAUCAAACUAAGAAUGUUAUAGUUAAAGGCGCGGGAGUCAGACAGCGACAGCUAAGUGCCGUUGUCAAAAGGGAAACAGCCCAGAUCUACAGCUAAGGUCCCGAAGUACAGGUUAAGUGGAAAAGGAUGUGACGAUGCAAAGACAACCAGGAUGUUGGCUCAGAAGCAGCCACGCAUUAAAAGAGUGCGUAAUAGCUCACUGGUCGAGUGACGUUGCGCCGAAAAUUAACGGGGCUCAAACCUGACACCGAAGCUUAGGAAUACUUUAAGAAGUAUUGGUAGAGGAGCAAUGUAUACGAGAAGAAGGCGUACCGGAAGGAGCGCUGGAUUGUAUAGAAGAGAGAAUGCCGGCAUAAGUAGCGAGAGCGGAGCGAGAAACUCCGCCGUCGAAAGUCUGAGGUUUUCCGGGGAAGGUUCGUCCGCCCGGAGAAAGUCGGGACCUAAGCGGAGGCCGAAAGGCGUACGUGAUGGACAGCAGGUUGAUAUUCCUGCACUACCGAGAGAGAUAAUGAAGCAAUGACACGGAAAGAUAGAAGAAGCGCGCGGAUGGAAAAGCGCGUCCAAGCAAAGAGGGUGGCUGGUAGUAAAGAACGCCAGUCGGAAGCCUGAUUUGUGACGGGGAGUGGACCAAGGAAACGAAGUCUUUGAAUCUACGCCGGCGAGAAAAGCUGCUAAAUAUUUCGAGGUACCCGUACCGCAAACCGACACAGGUAGACGAGAAGAAAAUUCUAAGACGAACGGGAGAACCCUUGUUAAGGAACUCGGCAAAAUGACCCCGUAACUUCGGGAGAAGGGGAGCCACAGCGAUGUGGUCGCAGUGAAGAGGUCCAAGCAACUGUUUAUCAAAAACACAGGUCUCUGCGAAAUCGAAAGAUGACGUAUAGGGGCUGACGCCUGCCCAGUGCCGGAAGGUUAAGGGGAGAUGUUAGGAGCAAGUCCGAAGCAUUGAACUUAAGCCCCGGUGAACGGCGGCCGUAACUAUAACGGUCCUAAGGUAGCGAAAUUCCUUGUCGGGUAAGUUCCGACCCGCACGAAUGGAGUAACGAUUUGGGCGCUGUCUCAACAGGGGGCCCGGCGAAAUUGUAGUAUACGUGAAGAUGCGUAUUAACCCGCGACUGGACGGAAAGACCCCGUAGAGCUUUACUGUAGCUUGAUAUUGAAUCUCGGCAACUGAUGCACAGAAUAGGUGGGAGACAGAGAAGCAGCGUUUUCGGGCGCUGCGGAGUCAACUUUGGGAUACCACUCUUCGGUUGCUGCGAUUCUAACCGAAAACCGUGAAACCGGGUUCGGGACAUUGUCAGGCGGGCAGUUUGACUGGGGCGGUCGCCUCCUAAAGAGUAACGGAGGCGCUCAAAGGUUCCCUCAGAAUGGUUGGAAAUCAUUCGACGAGUGUAAAGGUAUAAGGGAGCUUGACUGUGAGACUGACAAGUCGAACAGGUGCGAAAGCAGGACUUAGUGAUCAGGUGGUAUGAGAAUGGAAUUGCCAUCGCUUAACGGAUAAAAGUUACCUCGGGGAUAACAGGCUUAUCUCCCCCAAGAGUUCACAUCGACGGGGAGGUUUGGCACCUCGAUGUCGGCUCGUC
rnacentral:rRNA from 1 species